AGUGAACGCUGGCGGCGUGCUUAACACAUGCAAGUCGAACGAGAACGGAUUAUAGCUUGCUAUAAUUGUCAGCUAAGUGGCGCACGGGUGAGUAAUGUAUAGGUAAUAUGCCUCUUACUAAGGGAUAACAAAUGGAAACGUUUGCUAAUACCUUAUACUCCUUAUUAACAGAAGUUAAUAAGGGAAAGAUUUAUUGGUAAGAGAUUAGCCUGUAUUGUAUCAGUUAGUUGGUGGGGUAAUGGCUUACCAAGACUAUGACACAUAACUGGUUUGAGAGGAUGAUCAGUCACACUGGAACUGAGACACGGUCCAGACUCCUACGGGAGGCAGCAGUGGGGAAUAUUGCACAAUGGACGAAAGUCUGAUGCAGCAACGCCGCGUGGAGGAUGACACAUUUCGGUGCGUAAACUCCUUUUAUAUGAGAAGAUAAUGACGGUAUUAUAUGAAUAAGCACCGGCUAACUCCGUGCCAGCAGCCGCGGUAAAG
rnacentral:rRNA from 1 species